rnacentral:rRNA from 1 species
CCUACGGGUGGCUGCAGUGGGGAAUAUUGCACAAUGGGGGAAACCCUGAUGCAGCGACGCCGCGUGAGUGAAGAAGUAUUUCGGUAUGUAAAGCUCUAUCAGCAGGGAAGAAAAUGACGGUACCUGAUUAAGAAGCCCCGGGUAAAAACGUGCCAGAGGCGGCGGUAAUAUGAAGGGGGCAAGCGUUAUCCGGAUUUACUGGGGGUAAAGGGGGCGUAGACGGCAGAACAAGUCUGGAGUGAAAUGCCGGGGCUUAACCCCGGAACUGCUUUGGAAACUGUGGAGCUAGAGUGCAGGAGGGGUAAGUGGAAUUCCUAGUGUAGCGGUGAAAUGCGUAGAUAUUAGGAGGAACACCAGUGGCGAAGGCGGCUUACUGGACUGUAACUGACGUUGAGGCUCGAAAGCGUGGGGAGCAAACAGGAUUAGAUACCCUGGUAGUC